UACGUAGGGCGCAAGCGUUGUCCGGAAUUAUUGGGCGUAAAGAGCUCGUAGGUGGUUUGUCGCGUCUGUUGUGAAAGCCCGGGGCUUAACUCCGGGUUUGCAGUGGAUACGGGCAGGCUAGAGGCAGGUAGGGGAGAACGGAAUUCCCGGUGUAGCGGUGAAAUGCGCAGAUAUCGGGAGGAACACCGGUGGCGAAGGCAGCUCGCUGGGACGGUACUGACGCUGAGGUGCGAAAGCGUGGGGAGCGAACAGG
rnacentral:rRNA from 1 species